rnacentral:rRNA from 1 species
ACUCAAAUGAAUUGACGGGGACCCGCACAAGCGGUGGAGUAUGUGGCUUAAUUCGAUGCAACGCGAAGAACCUUACCAAGGCUUGACAUGCAUCUCUAAGCGCGUGAAAGCGCGUGACCCUUCGGGGAAUUUGCACAGGUGCUGCAUGGCCGUCGUCAGCUCGUGUCGUGAGAUGUUGGGUUAAGUCCCGCAACGAGCGCAACCCUUGUGAACAGUUGCCAGCACUUAAGGUGGGAACUCUGUUCAGACUGCCCAGAUCAACUGGGAGGAAGGUGGGGACGACGUCAGGUCAGUAUGGCCCUUACGCCUUGGGCUGCACACGUACUACAAUGCCCAGCACAAUGAGAACCGAGACCGCGAGGUGGAGGAAAUCUAUAAAACUGGGCUCAGUUCGGAUUGGAGGCUGCAACUCGCCUCCAUGAAGUUGGAAUCGCUAGUAAUGCCGUAUCAUCUACGACGGCGUGAAUACGUUCCCGGGUCUUGUACACACCGCCCGU